rnacentral:rRNA from 1 species
GAUGAACGCUGGCGGCGUGCCUAAUACAUGCAAGUCGAGCGAACAGAUGAGGAGCUUGCUCCUCUGACGUUAGCGGCGGACGGGUGAGUAACACGUGGAUAACCUACCUAUAAGACUGGGAUAACUUCGGGAAACCGGAGCUAAUACCGGAUAAUAUAUUGAACCGCAUGGUUCAAUAGUGAAAGACGGUUUUGCUGUCACUUAUAGAUGGAUCCGCGCCGCAUUAGCUAGUUGGUAAGGUAACGGCUUACCAAGGCAACGAUGCGUAGCCGACCUGAGAGAGUGAUCGGCCCCACUAGGAAUGUGACACAGGCCCGACUCCUAAGGGGGGCAGAAGAGGGGAAUAUCAGCCGAAGGGCGAAAGCCUGAGAGAGCAAUACGGCGUGUGUGAGGAAGGGCUUCGGGGUGUAAAAAUCUCUUUUUUGGGAAGAAAAAAAGUGUGUAAAUAAAUAGGCGUGUUGACGGUACACAAAAAGAAAGCACCGGGUAUAUCCGUG